AUUGAACGCUGGCGGCAGGCCUAACACAUGCAAGUCGGACGAGCGGCGGACGGGUGAGUAAUGUAUGGGAAACUGCCCGAUGGCGGGGGAUAACUACUGGAAACGGUAGCUAAUACCGCAUACCAUCAGAUGAGCCCAGAUGGGAUUAGCUAGUAGGAAGGGUAACGGCUUACCUAGGCGACGAGCCCUAGCUGGUCUGAGGGGCUGAAUAGCCACACUGGAACUGAGACACGGCCCAGACUCCUACGGGAGGCAGCAGUGGGUAAUAUUGCACAAUGGGCGCAAGCCUGAUGCAGCCAUGCCGCGUGUAUGAAGAAGGCCUUCGGGUUGUAAAGGACUUGCAGCGGGGAGGCGUGACUCGCAGAAGAAGCACCGGCUAACUCCGUGCCAGCAGCGGCGGUAAUUC
rnacentral:rRNA from 1 species